UAUCACGGAAAGUGUUGCAUGUACUCAACCAGGGUGUUUCAUUAUGACGGUGUGAACAUUGCGUUACGGUAUAUGUCACCUAUGGCGGUUGCAGCCAGGAAAAGGGCUGCCAAUAUUUGAUAACAUAAUUGUCAGAGCUGAUAGUAUUGGGAUAACGAUGACAUUUAUCUUGAUACUACCGGUAUUUAUCUUCACUCGGCAGAGUGCCAGAAUAAUUCUUUCGCAUGUGAACGCUUGAAGAAGUCAGAAGUGCGCGCGGUAUUUGUAGUUUAAUUAUAACGUUAGGAAAGUAAAAGUUCGAGAUUUAAAAGUUCUUAAAUUACGCAAAAUUGUGUUAGUACGUUUAAUAGUGAUAAAAAAAGCCGAUAGAAAUACGGAAGACAUACACAACAUUUAUACAAAUUAAAACGUUAUAAAAGGUCCUCAACGGGCCUUUUAUUCUUGGGCUUCGAACGUUGUUCGGAGUUUCUUUUCGCAGGCUCACAAUGUCUCGAGCGAGGAGCGACGAUUAAUCCGGAAUUAAGUUCACCGCGAAGGGCAAUUAUAAAACUAUUAAUCGAACGACGUCAUUGUCAUCGGAGAAGCCAUUGUCAUCGAAGACGCCAUUACAAAUUCCAGCGUCCAUGGUCAUUCUCAACGCCAUUACUAGCUCCGGCGCCAUUACCAUCGCUGACGGUUGUCGCGCUAUGAGCUGUCAGGAAAGCCAGAUCACCGAUUACUUCGAGGAAAUAUACAUCCGGGAUCGCCAAACUUUCCCCACCAGACCUGCACCAACAAAAACCGAGCAAAAGCGCAAGUAGAAAAACCCAUAAAGUGACGUCACUAGCUUUAAGUUAAACUCAGUUAGUCAGAAUAAAUGUUGAAAAUGUUAAUUAGGAACCGUUAGCCUAGUUUCUAUAUAAUGAGCGAAAUUAGUACAAGUACACCAUUCUUGAUC